rnacentral:piRNA from 1 species
CGGCAGGUCUAUUUGUAGAAGUUUCUCUGU